rnacentral:misc_RNA from 1 species
GGUCUUAUAGGAAGGAAUGGUACAGGGAAGACAACUUUUCUUAGGUAUAUGGCUAUGCAUGCCAUUGAUGGUAUUCCUAAGAAUUGCCAGAUAUUGCAUGUAGAGCAGGAAGUUGUUGGUGAUGAUACUUCAGCGUUGCAGUGUGUUUUAAAUUCAGAUAUUGAAAGAACCCAACUUUUGGCAGAGGAAGCUCGUCUUCAAGCCCAACAGAGAGAGGCAGAGUUUGAUGAUGGAAAAGGCAAUGCAGCUAUUGACAAAGAUGGCACUGCACAAAGGCUUGAAGAGAUAUACAAAA